GUUUUUCAUCCUGAACAUAUAGUAAAACUCAAGUACUGCAGAGGACAUUAGCAUGGUCUCUGGACAAGAAUGAUGCGCAAAUUUGUGAGGUGUUCUAAAAAAAA
rnacentral:snRNA from 1 species